rnacentral:rRNA from 1 species
UACGUAGGGGGCAAGCGUUGUCCGGAUUUAUUGGGCGUAAAGAGCGUGUAGGCGGCCUGAAAGGUCAGCUGUGAAAACUCGAGGCUCAACCUCGAGACGUCGGUUGAAACCAUCUGGCUAGAGUCCGGAAGAGGAGUGUGGAAUUCCCGGUGUAGCGGUGAAAUGCGUAGAUAUCAGGAGGAACACCUGUGGUGUAGACAGCUUACUGGACCAUUUCUGACGCUGAGACACGAAAGCGUGGGUAGCAAACAGG